rnacentral:ncRNA from 1 species
UACCUGGUUGAUCCUGCCAGUAGUCAUAUGCUUGUCUCAAAGAUUAAGCCAUGCAAGUCUAAGUACGAGCUCUCGUACAGUGAAACUGCGAAUGGCUCAUUAAAUCAGUUAUGGUUCAUUUGAUCGUACAGUUUACUUGGAUAACUGUGGUAAUUCUAGAGCUAAUACAUGCGAGAAGCGCCGACCUCGCGGGAGGCGUGCAUUUAUCAGACCAAAAACCGGCCGCGUCUUCGGGCGCGUUCGCCUUGGUGACUCUGGAUAACUUUGCGGAUCGCACGGUCUAGCACCGGCGACGGAUCAUUCAAGUGUCUGCCCUAUCAACUUUCGUCGGUACGGUAUUUGCCUACCGAGGUUCUUACGGGUGACGGGGAAUCAGGGUUCGAUUCCGGAGAGGGAGCCUGAGAAACGGCUACCACAUCCAAGGAAGGCAGCAGGCGCGCAAAUUACCCAUUCCCGACGCGGGGAGGUAGUGACGAAAAAUAACAAUGCAGGACUCGUUCGAGGCCCUGUAAUUGGAAUGAGUACACUUUAAAAGCUUUAACGAGUAUCCAUUGGAGGGCAAGUCUGGUGCCAGCAGCCGCGGUAAUUCCAGCUCCAAAAGUAUAUAUUUAAGUUGUUGCGGUUAAAAAGCUCGUAGUUGGAUUUUGGGCGCAGGCGGC